GAGAACCCUCGUGUCCUCUUGGAGGGAAUGCAGAUUGGUGCAACCACUGUGGAAAGCAGUAUGAUGCUUCCUCCAAAGUUAAAAAUACAGCUGCCUUAUGACCUAACAUUUCCACUUCUGAGAAUAUAUCUGCAGAAACCUGAAACACUGAUCUGAAAGGGUAUAUGCACCCCUAUGUUCAUUGUGGCAUUAUUUACAACAGCGAAGAUUUCACAGCAGCCCAAGUACCCAGCAGCAGAUAAGCGGAGACAAAGCUCUGGUACAUUAUACACAACAGAAUACUACUCACCCGCACACCCAAAAAGGAAAUCUUAUCUUUUGGAACAGCAUGGAUGGAGCUGAAAAGUAACACGUUGUGACACAUGCUACAACCUGGAUGCACCCUGAAAACAUGACGCUCAGGGAAAUAAGCCAAUCACAGAAAGACAAAUACUGUGUGAUCACUCUCGCAAGAGGUCCCUGGAGCCAUCAGAGUCAUAGAGACACAGGAACGCUGGGCCAGGGUCCUGUCGACAGAGCAGAGUCACUUCUCGGUGUUUUGGUUGGGUCCCAGGCACACUGCCAAGGAGAGACGCUACCCCAGGACAAGGAUGAAGGAAGGCAGCAUUGUCAUUGGAAGCCCGUGCCUUUUAAUCAUCUACAGAUCGCAACUGCAGAAACAACACUUAUGUUCUGUUAAAGAGAUGGCUCCAAUUUACCUGUCAACUUGACUGGGAGAUGAAAAAAGUAAUUCUGCGCCUGCGCAGCCAGCCAACUCAGUCAUCUUCUUCAGGAAGAACAUCGAGAGAGAACAAUAAAAUAAUGUUUUCCCGGGAAAGCAUCCUGUUAUAUGAAGCUUCCACACAGCUCAUGGGGAAAGAGGAGUCUAAGAUUAUCAGCAAAC